GUCUACGGCCAUACCAUCCUGAACGCACUGGAUCCCGUCUGAUCUCAGAAGCUAAGCAGGGUCGGGCCUGGUUAGUACUCAGAUGGGAGAUAUGUAUGUACAAUUCUGUGCCACAUAAU
rnacentral:rRNA from 1 species